rnacentral:rRNA from 2 species
GCAGUCGACGACUCUGGUAUUGAUUGGUGCUUGCAUCAUGAUUUACAUUUGAGUGAGUGGCGAACUGGUGAGUAACACGUGGGAAACCUGCCCAGAAGCGGGGGAUAACACCUGGAAACAGAUGCUAAUACCGCAUAACAACUUGGACCGCAUGGUCCGAGUUUGAAAGAUGGCUUCGGCUAUCACUUUUGGAUGGUCCCGCGGCGUAUUAGCUAGAUGGUGGGGUAACGGCUCACCAUGGCAAUGAUACGUAGCCGACCUGAGAGGGUAAUCGGCCACAUUGGGACUGAGACACGGCCCAAACUCCUACGGGAGGCAGCAGUAGGGAAUCUUCCACAAUGGACGAAAGUCUGAUGGAGCAACGCCGCGUGAGUGAAGAAGGGUUUCGGCUCGUAAAACUCUGUUGUUAAAGAAGAACAUAUCUGAGAGUAACUGUUCAGGUAUUGACGGUAUUUAACCAGAAAGCCACGGCUAACUACGUGCCAGCAGCCGCGGUAAUACGUAGGUGGCAAGCGUUGUCCGGAUUUAUUGGGCGUAAAGCGAGCGCAGGCGGUUUUUUAAGUCUGAUGUGAAAGCCUUCGGCUCAACCGAAGAAGUGCAUCGGAAACUGGGAAACUUGAGUGCAGAAGAGGACAGUGGAACUCCAUGUGUAGCGGUGAAAUGCGUAGAUAUAUGGAAGAACACCAGUGGCGAAAGGCGGCUGUCUGGUCUGUAACUGACGCUGAGGCUCGAAAGUAUGGGUAGCAACAGGAUUAGAUACCCUGGUAGUCCAUACCGUAACGAUGAUGCUAGUGUUGGAGGGUUUCGCCUUCAGUGCUGCAGCUAACGCAUUAAGCAUUCCGCCUGGGGGAGUAC